AAUGAAGAACAUUAUUUAGGUGACACUCCAGAGAUGAAGUGUUCUUCAGGCAUCGUGAUUGUCUUACUCUUCAUGCUAGGACAAACCCAUGGAGACUCAGUGAAACAGAUGGAAGGCCAAGUGACCCUCUCAGAAGAGGCUUCUUUGACUAUAAACUGUACUUUCUCAACAUCAACGACACCCACUCUCUUCUGGUAUGUCCAGUAUCUGGGAGAAGGUCCACAGCUCCUCCUGAAAGCAUUAAGAGACAAGGAAAAGGGAAUCAACAAAGGAUUUGAAGCAACCUUGGACAGUUCAUCCAAAUCCUUCCACUUGAAGAAAGGCCCAGUGCAAAUGUCAGACUCAGCUGUGUACUACUGUGCCCUGGGUGACACAGUGAUGGGGACUGCAGGGGGAGCUGAGCACAAACUCAGAGUAGAGCAGGGGCCUGGAUGCUGA